rnacentral:rRNA from 1 species
UACGUAGGGUGCGAGCGUUGUCCGGAAUUAUUGGGCGUAAAGAGCGUGUAGGCGGUCCGGUAAGUCAGCUGUGAAAGUCAAGGGCUCAACCCUUGAAAGCCGGUUGAUACUGUCGGGCUAGAGUCCGGAAGAGGCGAGUGGAAUUCCCGGUGUAGCGGUGAAAUGCGCAGAUAUCGGGAGGAACACCAAUGGCGAAGGCAGCUCGCUGGGACGGUACUGACGCUGAGACGCGAAAAGCGUGGGGAGCAAACAGG